UUCUCCAGGCAGCUUCGAGUCAAGACCGAGAUGGACAAAGAACUCUGCAGCUGAAGAAGAGCCGGGGCCACAGGGACGAAGACUGUCCUGCGCACGGGGACCAACCCAUCAGCCCCGCAACAUGUGGCUUCAAAUCGGACUUCUCUCAUCGGCUGGGUUCAGACCCCAAAGACAAAGAUAAAGGAAAAGAUGAAGACCAAAGCAAAGAUGAAGAUCAAGACAAAAAUAAAGACCUAAGUGCUGUGUGACCUUAUCAUCGAUGCAGAGAUGAAAGUUCAUCAGACCAACAGAGAUCCCUGCCUUCAUCAAUCAACCUCCUUCCUCCUGCUGCAACACCUUCUUCAUCGACCGUUAACAGAUGUGCUCUGUGGAACUAGUUGGCUGUAGGCUGCUCAGUCUGGCUAAUUCACAGGGGGAAGAAGGGUGGGACAUCUGGAUGGAGGCCGUUAGUAGUCAGGCGAAUCAAGUCUUGAAACCAGCUUAAACAGAGUUUACUUCUGGACAGGGUAAAUCCCAGCAGAUUUAGGAAACUCAAUUUACCCGUUAGAUGGAGAGCUGGUAGCACAUCUUCCCUCUCAGAAGAGGAAGUAGUGACUGAGAGAGUAGAGAGUGAAGGAGGGGCAGGGGGGGGGAGGGGGUGUAGCGGCAACAACAACCUGUGAUGAGGUUGGUUCUGUCCCUCCCCAGAGACGAAGCAUUUCCUCAUAUUUGUUUAUCAAACGCUUUCAUAUUUCAUUUUGCUGUGAAGCAGAAAGAUUUAAGAGUGAAGAUCUCAGAGGUUCCUAGUGGUCAGAAUACCCAACAUCAAACAUCCAUAUUUUUGACACAAUUACGCCUUUCGCUCUGAGCCGUGCACAAACGUGGAGAUGAAACUUCGACCUCAUAAGAUUGGAAUAUUUGUGGACUAUGAGAAAGGAGAGGUAUCUUUUUACAACGUCGAUUCCAAAGUCCACAUUUACUCUUUCCACGACAUCUUCACUGAAAACCUCUUCCCCUUCUUCAGCCCCUGCACCAACAAAUCAGGAAAAAACGAAAUGCCCCUGAUCAUCAGUCCAGUAAACAUGGAGUAAAAGCUCCUCAGACACUUAAAAUGAGUUGCUUCUCUUUUGUUCAGCUUUUUCCAUCUUUAUGAGUAGAAAUAUAAUGUGAUAAUUUAAUACUGGAGAUCUGGAGCUGGAAUCCCAGGAUUGUUUUGUUUUCUUGUUGAUGCCUUUAGACAAGAGUAAGAGGAUAUCUACCAUCUUGAAAAUGUAUUAGUUUGCACACUUCCACUACAAUGCUAGUAGCAGAGCAAAUUUUUUAACUAACUUUGAAAAUGUUCAGUGCAUUUAGCUUCCCUUAAGUACAUUUUUCCAGAUUAAUUUUAAAGCACAAAUUGACUUUUCUGUUUUGUAAACGUUCAGUUAUAAUAAAAUUUGACAUCUGUGUCAAAGUUUUGGUUUUUUAGUGUUAAGAAUAAUUAAAUGCUUAUGUCCAUGCUCUUA